UCUACGCCUAAGGCGGGAGCUCCUGGAGGCGGAGGCCAAGGGUGGGGGCUUAGUGGAGUGAGGGGUAGCAAGAUGGCGACCGAGACGGUGGAGCUCCAUAAGCUGAAGCUUGCUGAACUAAAGCAGGAAUGUCUUGCUCGUGGUUUGGAGACCAAGGGCAUAAAGCAAGAUCUUAUCCACAGACUCCAGGCAUAUCUUGAAGAACAUGCUGAAGAGGAGGCAAAUGAAGAAGAUGUACUGGGAGAUGAAACAGAGGAAGAAGAAACAAAGCCUAUAGAGCUCCCUGUCAAAGAGGAAGAACCCCCUGAAAAAACUGUUGAUGUGGCAGCAGAAAAGAAAGUGGUGAAAAUUACAUCUGAAAUACCACAGACUGAGAGAAUGCAGAAGAGGGCCGAACGAUUCAAUGUACCUGUGAGCUUGGAGAGUAAGAAAGCUGCUCGGGCAGCUAGGUUUGGGAUUUCUUCAGUUCCAACAAAAGGUCUAUCAUCUGACAACAAGCCUAUGGUUAACUUGGAUAAGCUGAAGGAAAGAGCUCAAAGAUUUGGUUUGAAUGUCUCUUCAAUCUCCAGAAAGUCUGAAGAUGAUGAGAAACUGAAAAAGAGGAAGGAACGAUUUGGGAUUGUCACAAGUUCAGCUGGAACUGGAACCACAGAGGAUACAGAGGCAAAGAAGAGGAAAAGAGCAGAGCGCUUUGGGAUUGCCUGAUGAAAAGUUCUUGUUACUUUCUGUUCUCCAGUGUUUUCCAUUUCUCUGAUUCUUCUUGGUCACAUACACACCUAAAUGCACAGUCAUGUGCCUACGUCCUGCCUCGCAAUGAGGGAGCAUGUACCCCAGGUUCAAGUGCUGGAUUGUGUCAUGUGACCAUCCCAAAACUCAGAGCACCCUAUGGCCAUCUUUGCCCUCUGUCACAUAACUUGAAAACUGCCUGAUGGCCUUUUUGCAGUGGUUCCCUCCAGGAAGCCUUGAUCUCAGUUGAAGAAGUUCUUUCCCGGCAUUCCAAUGCCCGUCAGCUUCAUACUACUCAGACACCCUUAACAAAGGCUGUCACACACACAAUGUAACAAAUACACAAAGUAAAUGAUAAUUACACUAACAAUUAUAUGUUCAGAGGGGCACUGGCCAGGUCCACACACAUCAUAAGGUGGGAGGGGGUGCUAACUCCCACUGGGUUGCUGAGCUGUGCCCCCCAAGCCCCUAGACUCCAUGCCUCUUUGGGGGUAGGGAGGAACAGGGGAAUGAGACUUUAGCUCAUAGAUUUAUGUUCAUAAGGGAAAGACCCCCCUGACACACACACAAAGGUCUUUAUUUGGUGGUAUUAAAGGGGCAGUAUUCUAAGUGUCCCCCAUAUUUAAUGCCCCAGUUCUCUAGAAUCUGUGGAGGGAAGAUACCUGAUGCUUACUGCCCAACUGCUACUCUGUGCCAAGAUCACAAGGCAUUUGACCUUGGAGGGAGAUAUCAUCUGCUCUUCUCUGUUUCUUUCCUUCCACCAAGAAAAUGUGAGUGGUAUUGAUGGCCGGGUGUGUCAUGUUUUCCAGAAUUCGGGCAGAAGGAUGAAGAACAGCCAGAGAGGCUUGGGGUUAUCAUAGCUGCUACAUGGGAGAAGGCAAGCUGAAAAGCCUAACAGCCCCUGCCCAUUCCUCUACUGAAACACCUUGUUUCACUUUCUUACUAUAAGAAUAGGAAUAAGAUGUUAAAGCUCACCAACAUCACCUUCUCAAGGGUGGUGACAUACCUUUCCCCUUCCACCAACUGGCCAAGGGGGAGAGUCAUGCUCUUGGGAAGAAUGAGCCAUCCAGGUUUGCUCACUAGCUUGGGCUUUAGUUCAGUACUGUUUUUAUCAGACCCGUAACUGCUGGCUCUACUUAGAGUGACAGUUUUGCUGAAGGUUCUUACCCCCACCUCUCCUGACAUCCUCUAAGCUCUUGCCUGGAGCCAAGAGGCCUGGUGGUGAAGUAAGGAUAGGGUGUGGAUCAGGAGAUUCUCAACUCCUUGGCUUCUAGGCACUGUCCAGCUGGGAGGCAGAGGGGAACUUGUACUCUGAAGCCUGUGACUCCUCUUAAGCCUCACAUCUCUUCACCACUACUCUGGUGCCCUGGUUAUCUGUCCCACAGCGAGAGGUAUUUUAUGUCCAUAAAGUGCCCGUGGUAAGUGCUCAGAAUUCAUCUCUUGGCUGUGGCGGGUGCUGCUAUUUCUCAUUCCAUUGAGGGGAAGAAACUGAGGCACAGUGAGUCCAGAGGAGAAUGGGUCAGGAUUGUGAGAGGAAAGAAUGGGCCUAGCUAGUGACUUGAAAUGGCAACCAGUCUCUGCCUGCUUCCUAGCCUUCCAAACCCAACAGUCUCCCAUCCAUCCCAUCCUCUGUUCUAACUGGCCCUGUCAGAUGCUUUUCCCCACUCUACUUUCCCCUCCCUGCUGCCAGGUACUGUUAGAUUCCAAAAAUAAAAGGAAAAAAUAAUUAUA